CUGCUCAGUAACACGUGGACAACCUACCCUAUGGAGGGGGAUAACCCCGGGAAACUGGGGAUAAUACCCCAUAGACUAUAGAUGCUGGAAUGCUUUGUAGUUGAAAGGUCCGCCGCCAUAGGAUGGGUCUGCGGCCGAUUAGGUUGUUGUUGGGGUAACGGCCCAACAAGCCUGUAAUCGGUACGGGUUGUGGGAGCAAGAGCCCGGAGAUGGAUUCUGAGACACGAAUCCAGGCCCUACGGGGCGCAGCAGGCGCGAAAACUUUACAAUGCGGGAAACCGUGAUAAGGGAACUCCGAGUGCCCGUAAAAUCGGGCUGUCCAUCUGUUUAAAUAACAGGUGAAGAAAGGGCCGGGCAAGACCGGUGCCAGCCGCCGCGGUAAUACCGGCGGCUCGAGUGGUGGCCACUAUUACUGGGCUUAAAGCGUUCGUAGCUGGUCUGUUAAGUCUCUGGGGAAAUCUACUGGCUUAACCAAUAGGCGUCUCAGGGAUACUGGCAGACUAGGGACCGGGAGAGGUGAGAGGUACUCCAGGGGUAGGAGUGAAAUCCUGUAAUCCUUGGGGGACCACCUGUGGCGAAGGCGUCUCACCAGAACGGCUCCGACAGUGAGGGACGAAAGCUGGGGGAGCAAACCGGAUUAGAUACCCGGGUAGU
rnacentral:rRNA from 1 species